rnacentral:rRNA from 1 species
AUACGGAUGGUGCGAGCGUUGUUCGGAAUUACUGGGCGUAAAGGGCGCGUAGGCGGCCUUACAAGUCAGAUGUGAAAGCCCUCGGCUCAACCGAGGAUGUGCAUCUGAAACUGUAAGGCUUGAGUAUCGGAGAGGAAAGUGGAAUUCCCGGUGUAGAGGUGAAAUUCGUAGAUAUCGGGAGGAAUACCGGUGGCGAAGGCGACUUUCUGGACGAAUACUGACGCUGAGGCGCGAAAGCGUGGGGAGCAAACAGGAUUAGAAACCCUAGUAGUCC